AAGACUACGGUGAGCUGAACGUGCACAGACAAGCCGAAACCCACUAUUACGGCAGUGAUACCAGAACUGAGUCCACUAAAAUAACUUUUAGAAAGAUCGGACUGUGCCCGGAUUGAACCGGUGAGCUGUCGAGAAAAUUUAAAUGGGCCGUGCAAAAUUAUGAUUGUUUUUAAUUAAAUUUGAGUAAAUUUUAUCUGUUUUGUAUACAUUUGGACCGGUGAAAAUCCAAAAACUCGGUGUGCCGAUACACUCCCAAUCCGGCGCUGAGUCGGUGGCGUGGUGAAAAGAGAC